AGCCAUGCAUGUCUAAGUAUAAGCAAUUAUACCGCGAAACUGCGAAUGGCUCAUUAUAUAAGUUAUCGUUUAUUUGAUAGUACCUUACUACUUGGAUAACCGUGGUAAUUCUAGAGCUAAUACAUGCUAAAAAUCCCGACUUCGGAAGGGAUGUAUUUAUUAGAUUAAAAACCAAUGCCCUUCGGGGCUCACUGGUGAUUCAUGAUAACUCCUCGAAUCGCAUGGCCUUGUGCCGGCGAUGGUUCAUUCAAAUUUCUUCCCUAUCAACUUUCGAUGUUUGGGUAUUGGCCAAACAUGGUUGCAACGGGUAACGGGG
rnacentral:rRNA from 1 species